rnacentral:rRNA from 1 species
AGAGUUUGAUCCUGGCUCAGGAUCAACGCUGGCGGCGUGCCUAAUGCAUGCAAGUCGCACGGGACACCUUCGGGUGUUCAGUGGCGAACGGCUGAGGAACACGUGCGUAUCUGCCUUUCCGUGGGGAAUAACGGGUGGAAACACCCGCUAAUACCGCGUACGCUUGCUUCGGCAAGGAAAGCCUUCGGGCGCGGGGAGAGGAGCGCGCGGCCCAUCAGGUAGAUGGCGGGGUAAUGGCCCACCAUGCCGGUGACGGGUCGCUGGUCUGUGAGGAUGACCAGCCAGACUGGGACUGCGACACGGCCCAGACACCUACGGGUGGCAGCAGCAAGGAAUCUUCGGCAAUGGGCGCAAGCCUGACCGAGCAACGCCGCGUGGAGGACGACGGCCUUCGGGUUGUAAACUCCUUUUCUGUGGGAUGAUACGGACAGUACCGCAGGAAUAAGCCCCGGCUAACUCUGUGCCAGCAGCCGCGGUAAUACAGAGGGGGCAAGCGUUGUCCGGACUUGCUGGGCGUACAGCGCGCGCAGGUGGUCGGCUAAGUUCGUGGUGACAGCGUGCGGCUCAACCGCACACGGUCCAUGGAGACUGGUCGGCUAGAGGCAUCGAGAGGGAUACGGAAUACCCGGUGGAGCGGUGAAAUGCGUAGAGAUCGGGUGGAACACCAGCGGCGAAGGCGGUAUCCUGGCGAUGACCUGACACUGAGGCGCGACAGCGUGGGGAGCAAACGGGAUUAGAUACCCCAGUAGUCC